rnacentral:rRNA from 1 species
AUUGAACGCUGGCGGAAUGCUUUACACAUGCAAGUCGAGCGGCAGCACGGACUUCGGUCUGGUGGCGAGUGGCGAACGGGUGAGUAAUAUAUCGGAACGUGCCCAGUCGUGGGGGAUAACGUAGUGAAAAUUACGCUAAUACCGCAUACGAUCUAUGGAUGAAAGCGGGGGAUCGCAAGACCUCGCGCGAUUGGAGCGGCCGAUAUCAGAUUAGGUAGUUGGUGAGGUAAAGGCUCACCAAGCCAACGAUCUGUAGCUGGUCUGAGAGGACGACCAGCCACACUGGAACUGAGACACGGUCCAGACUCCUACGGGAGGCAGCGGUGGGGAAUUUUGGACAAUGGACGCAAGUCUGAUUCAGCCAUUCCGCGUGCAGGACGAAGGCCUUCGGGUUGUAAACUGCUUUUGUACAGAACGAAAAGGUUUCUAUUAAUACUAGGGGCUCAUGACGGUACUGUAAGAAUAAGCACCGGCUAACUACGUGCCAGCCGCCGCCGUAA